UACGAAGGGGGCGAGCGUUGUUCGGAUUUACUGGGCGUAAAGGGCGCGCAGGCGGCUCAUUUUGUCAGGCGUGAAAGCCCCGGGCUUAACCUGGGAACUGCGUUUGAUACGGAUGGGCUAGAGUUCGGGAGAGGAGAGUGGAAUUCCCAGUGUAGAGGUGAAAUUCGUAGAUAUUGGGAAGAACACCGGUGACGAAGGCGGCUCUCAGGACCGAGACUGACGCUGAGGCGCGAAAGCGUGGGGAGCAAACAGG
rnacentral:rRNA from 1 species